rnacentral:rRNA from 1 species
UACGAAGGGGGCUAGCGCUGUUCGGAAUUACUGGGCGUAAAGCGCACGUAGGCGGAUUAGUAAGUCAGGGGUGAAAUCCCGGGGCUCAACCUCGGAACUGCCUGUGAUACUGCUGACCUCGAGUCCGGAAGAGGUGAGUGGAAUUCCUAGUGUAGAGGUGAAAUUCGUAGAUAUUAGGAAGAACACCAGUGGCGAAGGCGGCUCACUGGUCCGGUACUGACGCUGAGGUGCGAAAGCGUGGGGAGCAAACAGU